rnacentral:misc_RNA from 1 species
AAGUCGUAACAAGGUUUCCGUAGGUGAACCUGCGGAAGGAUCAUUAACACGUAUCCACGUUAAUAUCAACCACUAAGAACUGUGCUCCCUGGCCUCCGACUUCUGCGCUGUCCGUGAAGGUUAUAAUGGGUUGCAAUUGGCGCAUCUUCGCGAUAGUCUUUUGUAACAGACCUGCUCACCGGCUGUCACUCCGCUUGCGAGAGUGUGGCAAAGUAACUGGACGCUGGGCUUAUUUUACCCCAUCAAACUGCUCUCUCAACCAUUUUGAGUGGAGUGGCGCGAUACCAUACUAAUUUCACCCUAUUUUACCCUAUUUGACUAAUUUAUAUGCAUUUCAUCGGAAGAAAUUCCGUUUGAAUUGAUCUAAGAUUUAUCUUAACUAAGCACAACUCUUAGCAAUGGAUAUCUUGGUUCUC